rnacentral:rRNA from 1 species
GGAAUAUUGCGCAAUGGGCGAAAGCCUGACGCAGCGACGCCGCGUGGGGGAUGAAGGUCUUCGGAUUGUAAACCCCUUUCGGGAGGGAAGAUGGGAAAGGGUAACCCAUUCGGACGGUACCUCAAGAAGCAGCCACGGCUCACUCCGUGCCAGCAGCCGCGGUAAUACUAAGGUGGCAAGCGUUGUUCGGAUUUACUGGGCGUACAGGGACCGUAGGCGGUUGGGUAAGCCCUCCGUGAAAUCUCCAGGCUUAACCUGGAAAGUGCAGAGGGGACUGCUCAGCUAGAGGAUGGGAGAGGAGCGCGGAAUUCCCGGUGUAGCGGUGAAAUGCGUAGAGAUCGGGAGGAAGGCCGGUGGCGAAGGCAGCGCUCUGGAACAUUUCUGACGCUGAGGCUCGAAAGCGUGGGGAGCAAA